AGUAGGAAAUUUUCUUCAGCGUGACACCUACCAACCCUCUUCAGUUUUCGGAACCCGCUAAUUAGAACGUGACCGCAGAGUGAUAACUGGUUUGUAGCAGCCAAGAGUUCAUAGCGACGUUGCUUUUUGAUCCUUCGAUGUUGGCUCUUCCUAUCAUACUGAAGCAGAAUUCAGUAAGUUUUGGAUUGUUCGUCCACUAAUAGAGAACGUGAGCUGGGUUUAGACCGUCGUGAGACAUAUUAGUUUUACCCUACU
rnacentral:ncRNA from 1 species